GUGGUCACCUCUGCAGCACAGACACUACGUUUGGAACCAUACAGAGAGCACUAGCGUGGCCUCUGCCCAAGGAUGACAUGGAAAUUCACGAAUCAUUCCAUAUUUUU
rnacentral:snRNA from 1 species